rnacentral:lncRNA from 1 species
AUGCCUUUUCUUCUCACAACCUCCUGCACCACUUUCCAAUGCCUUACCAAGAAGGUAAAUUCCAAACACAGAAGUAAAAGAAUUGCUCUGGGAAGAGGUAAUAAAUGCAGCAAAAGAGUUUCAGGACCUUGUCAAGUUACAUUCCAAAGGGAUGGAUCAAGCCAAAUAUAUACAGAUGGAGCCCCCUUUCACACCUGCUGUUUAGCUCUAAUCUGUGCCUCCGCUGAGCCCAAAGCCCCACAGUUCAGGAUUCUGAAAGGCAGACCAUGUUCCAUGUGGUCCACAGUCCUGUCUGGAUGCUGCCAGGUCAUAACUUGUCGACUGGUGAGCAAGUUCAGCUUUGACAACCGGGCCACUUGGACUGUGUUAAUCUUUUCCAAGGCUCUGAAAAUGAUUGUUCCAACAGAAGCAGUGCCAAACGACAGAAAGUUCUCCACGUCUGUAUUUGCUUGUACAGGUAUUAGACCAGAGCUCAUUUGGUGCAAAUCUGGAGCUAGUUUUACCUUAACCAAAGCAGGUACAGAGACAUUACAGCCUCUCAUCAGUGAAUAUUUGGAGUAUAAUGGGUUUCCAGACUUCAGGUCACUAGUACACAAUGAGAUCUCGGCCCACAAGAAGAGUUCGUCUUUUGAGAUAAUAUUGAUUCUGGAAAAUAUUUCAGUUACUCCUGCCCAUAGCCACCAUAUCCAGAAGUCAUGA